GUGAGGAAUUUUCCGCAAUGGGCGAAAGCCUGACGGAGCAAUGCCGCGUGAAGGAUGAAGGCCUAUGGGUUGUAAACUUCUUUUCUCAGAAAAGAAUUAUGACGGUAUCUGAGGAAUAAGCAUCGGCUAACUCUGUGCCAGCAGCCGCGGUAAGACAGAGGAUGCAAGCGUUAUCCGGAAUGAUUGGGCGUAAAGCGUCUGUAGGUUGUUUAAAAAGUAUUCUGUCAAAGAUUAGGGCUUAACCCUAGAUAGGCAGAAUAAACUUUUAAGCUAGAGUUUGGUAGGGGCAGAGGGAAUUCCCGGUGGAGCGGUGAAAUGCGUAGAUAUCGGGAGGAACACCAAAGGCGAAGGCACUCUGCUGGGCCAAUACUAACACUGAGAGACGAAAGCGAGGGGAGCAAAUGGGAUUAGAUACCCGAGUAGUCC
rnacentral:rRNA from 1 species